CUCCCACCUUCCUGUUCUUGAAAGCACAGGACAUCUGUGGGAGAAAUAUCUCUGGAAGCCUUGAUGGAGAGUACCAACCAGUCUUCAUGUGAAGACACUCUGCGUUCCUCAGCACUUACCCGUGAUCUGCAUCCUUGACAGAUUAAUCUUAAUGUUACAAAUGCCUGCAUAGUUGAUGCCCUCAGCCAGGACCUUGCAGCUUGAGAGAUGUGUCCCCAGACCCCCCUAACCCAGCUGAGGAUGGAGGGAGCAGCCUGGUACACCCCAAGUACACUUCUCCUCCCAGUUAGGAAGACAUUAUUGCUGCCAGAGUACACGCUGUCCAUUCUUUAACCAGACAAGACUGGAUAAGAAAGGUAUAUGGAUGGUUUAUACAGGCAAGACAAGGGACAAAAAUACUGACUAAUCAUCUCCUUGCGGAGAUGCCAGUGGAAGUGAUUGAGACAAAGGGGCGUAGCAUCAUCUUGAUGCUGAAGAGCUUUCAGAGGAGUAUCUCCAGGAAGUGGCAGGUGGCACCACUCAGGAGAUGACUUUGAUGGCCCCACGUCCUCUCUGUUUCAUUACCCAGGCAGGAGGUGGGACUGCUGUUACACCUUGUUCCCAGCUGUUUUCUGCUCCCAAGGCUGUGCCACCCAUCUCGUUGCUGUGGCUUUCUCUUGUGGGGCCUGGGGACAGAUGCAGAAGCCAGGUGACACGGAUGCUUUGCUGCCAGCACGGGGCCUGAGGCUGUAUCCUGGUGGAGCCUGGGCAGGGGCUGAUUAGCUCAGGAGAGAUGGGAUGGGACAGGGUCUGCCCUAAUGCUGAAGGCCCAGCUUGAACCUCUGGGGGCGGGAGACCCUGUGUUGACAGCCAGAAGUCAGAGCACGUUGCUUCCUUCUGCUGUGGUGUCUCUGCCAUCUGCAAAUCCCUCCAGCAGCGGCACCCUGCCUCUGCCUUGUUCCCACUUUGUUUAGGCUAAAGCCAGUGGGUCUGUCUUCAAAGCAAAGUGCGGCUUUCCCUGUGGAAAAAUCUCACUCCUGACUUUUGCUCUGUCCCCACAUCAAGCCAGCUUUCAGUGCACUGCCUGUAAGCAACUGUUAUUUUUUGUGUUUGUCCUGCAGUGAGCCAUAGCGUUCUGUGUCACCAUACCUCUAGACAAGGCUGUGAAAGCAGUUGAGGACUUUUCCAACAACUGAUGCCUGCUGCUGCUGCUCACAGCCAGCACAAAGCCUUCCCACUGCCAGGCCUGCCUGCUCUGGGAUGCUGUGUUUAUUUCUGGGGUUAGAGGGGAAGGGGGGGAACUGUAUCUGGGUAUUUUAAUUAGAUAAUAAUAAUGGAAACAAGUGGCACUAUGGCCACUUCCUAAACAGAGACAUCUGUUUGUAGAGUCCUGGCCCUAUUGGAGAGCACUAGGUAGGACUCAUCAGGCCAAGUCGUCGCUGCAGCUGUGCUGGGCAGCCCUGGAGCCCACUGGCUCCUCACAGGGGUGCUGGAGCACACUGGGGGCAUCGCUCCCCUCCCACUGCCCGUGCACUGCUGGAUGUGGCACAGCACUGCUACAUACAAAACCCUACUGAAGUUAUUUGCCUCAGUCUCACACAUCUGAGUCUUGUAACUUUGCUGCUGGUUCAUUUUCAGGAGGGACAGGAUAUAUUAUGGAGCUAAAUUCUCACGGGCAAAUAAUAAGUCCUAGCACCUGCUGGCUGGAACCCAC
rnacentral:lncRNA from 1 species